GGAUGCCAUGCCUUUUAUGUAAAAUGGAGGUCAUAGUAGAGAGCAGUGAAUGGAAGAAUCUUGUCAUUAGCACUGAAAGUCACAAUUCUCACAAAACUGGGCACCAAAAUGUCUCUUGAUUAAAAGAAGACCCUCCUUAAAGAUGCUUUGACUCCCUUCCCAGAACAGGACAGAUCAUUUAUUUCUGGACAGCACUAAUGGCUGUCAGCCCACCUUUACAUCUAUCCAGUUUGAUUAAGGUGAUGCUCCUUUGUACAUAAUACAUGCAUAAGCAUUAUUCUUUCAGUCCUGCUUUAUCAAAGCAAACAGUUGAACCUAAUGGAGAAUUCAUCUCAUGACAUUCUGCUUUAAGAUGGUGGAAAAAGACUUCUGUCUGCAGCAGACCCUCUACUUGAAUCUGAUUGUUCUUGUUAGUCAAAACCACCUUUAACUGUUAUUCCAGAUGUCUUCAACUGACUUAAGUGAGUUACAACGUAUUUAACUUCACAGAUGCCUGUCGGUGCCCACAUUCACACAGGUUGGCUCUGAAGCUCAGCUGCACUGGGCUGACCCUACUUGUCUUGACCCUGGUUGGGAUAAGAUGAGUGUUUUAGUGCGAGUCUUAAUACAAAAACCAUCAAUAGAAUCAUGCCGAGUGUUUAUUCAAGAGACCCUGGGUGAAACAACAGAUAGUCCAACUAAGUUAAAGUGCCCAGAAGACUGGCUUUCACACCGAGAUAAAUGCUUUCGUGUUUUUGAAGCAUGUGAGUUUGUAAGGACAAUGGUCAUGCCAUUUCGAGAAGACAGAAUUUUAGGGUAAUUUUACAUUCUUUUCACCUGCUUCCUCCAUGAUGUUCUCUGGGUAGAAGUUAACAUGGACAUCCCUCUUCCAGCUGAGCACACACACUUACUCUCAGCACUUUGAUCAUUGCUGAUUACAAAGCUAUGGACAUAGAAAACAGUAUGACAUCUUGACCUUUUACCAAAUGAACAACAAUAGGUUCCUCUUUUGGGCCCAUGAUGCCCAUGGCCCUGGGUUUAAUACAUUUAUAGCACCAAGUGUGAGUUCCCUCCUGUAGAGUAGGAGAGCUCAAAUCCAAUAGGAAACCAGUUGUUUACCCUCCAUAACCCUCAUACCGGUAUUGUAUGGGUGAUUAUCUUGUGUGGCUGAUUGAUGUUGUAGGGCAAGAGUAGUGAUGGCUUCUUCCUCAGCAGCCGACACAGUGCCUUUCAGCAUUAUGAAAGUUUACUAUCAGCUUAGUAGUUUCCAGGUCAAUUCCAGAUUGGUUAAUUUUAUUCUGAAAAUAUGUGGUAUUUUCAGCAAUAGGGCCUUGCCUAAUAGUAAUUGUGUAAAAUCAAGAAUAAUAGCCUAUGUUGUUUUGAGGACUUCUGGGGUAUCCCUUACAAGAAUUUUACAGUAUAUCCCAUGUUUGGAACUGAGGUAUUAGACAAUAAUCAUAUACACAUGCAAAAAAAUAAAAUUGCUUUCCAAGCAGCUCAUGUAUCUGUGACGCUUUAGUUUAAGAAGUAUUCCUUUCUUUUCUUUUGUUGGAUCAUCUUUUACUAUUUACUUUUCUCUAUGGUUAGCACCUGAAAAGUCCCAGUCCCAUCUCUCUUACUUUUUGCAUGGGAUCUUUCUCUGCGAUACAUUUUUGUCAGGUUGAGGUUAUUUUAUUUCUCAAACCAACUGUCUUCCUUCCUUUCUUUGUACUGUCUGGCAAUCCACAUAUGGUGUCCAUAGAUGAACUAGAACACUCCAUUCAUGCCCAUUGUUUUGCUUCAUUGACAAGAAGUAUCCUCUCUCUGGUGACCUUGGCAAGUAGGUCAUUCUUCCUUCACAGGGUCGUGAGCCAAAAGGUGCAGGGGACCAGAGGUAAAGAAGAUAGAACAGGGGAGCUUGAGCUCGGGAGGUCUUGCAGAAGCUAUGUCUUAUGCCAUGCCAAGGAAACUUGUUAAUAAAUAUAGCAUUUUGUAUGUUAUUUCCAGGGGGAGAGAGGGCACAGAGUCAGAAGAGAGCUAACAUACAAUAGGAUGAAAUCAGCAGGAAGCUAGCCAAGCAGUGAUGCACAAAGGGAACAUGGAGAGUCCAAGAGCAUGACAAAUGGAGCACACAGGGGUCUUGGGGCUGAUGACCUCCUAUUUAUGGGGAAAAAUGUCAAGUUCCCAGGAACUGAAGCAUUCAGUCAUUUGAGGCCCUAUCUUCAGGCCCUGACAGGCCUUGCCAAUUUGCCCUGGGGGCAAAGACUCAGAAUUAGAUUCCCUUUGUCCUUUCAUUAUGGCAUCUGAGAAAGCCUUGGGUAGGCCUGGCUCUCAACAGUGUGGCAAGUUUCUACUUAGAUGCCCUGCGAGAUGAAGUAUGGGAGUGGCCUCAGUUGCCUACUCCCUUCUCUGCAAUAUAUCGCCUUGGUUUGAAAUAGGCUUGGGUGCAACCUCCCAGGUAGUGUCUGAACUUUCCACAGAGAUGCUCUGCUGUAUGUGCCAAUGCCUCAAGCAACACCCCUGUGGAGCAAACAGCCCCUGUAGCUUUCUGAUGAGCUGUUCUGCUCAUGGCACCAACUGCUUUGCCUUUUGAGCCUGCAGCAUAUGAUCUUAACCCAUGGCUGCCACUUUCUGCCUCAUGUUUUCACUUUCUUGGAUAAAACUAUUCCUUUAUCAUGUUCCUUUCCACAUUUAAGAGUAUUAUUGCUUAUGUUUUACUCUAUUUUUUAUACAUCCUAAUUUCCAUUAAUAAUCUGGAAGUGUCUGAUAUAAAAAGAAGCUUCUAGUUAAAAAUUUAUCUUUCUUUAUUCUUGUGACCCUCAGUAUAACUUUUAUUAUUGCCAUACUCUAAAGCCCUCACAUAACUCACAUAACUCACAAUCACUCACCAUUUGACUUUGAUUUACGAUCUCCUUAUUGUACGCAACACCAUAUUACAAUCUCCUCUAUCCAUGCUCUGCCUCUUUCUCUGUGUGUCUCUCUGUAUCUCUGUUUCUCUGUCUCUGUCUCUCCAUUUCUCUGUCUCUGUCUCUGUCUCUGUGUGUGUGUGUCUUUCUGUCUUAUUGUGAGAAGAUUAAG
ensembl:lncRNA LOC100362418 killer cell lectin-like receptor subfamily B member 1C